rnacentral:rRNA from 1 species
GAGUUUGAUCGUGGCUCAGGAUGAACGCUGGCGGCGUGCCUAACACAUGCAAGUCGAGCGAAGCAUACAGGAGGAAGUUUUCGGAUGGAAUCCUGCAUGGCUGAGCGGCGGACGGGUGAGUAACGCGUGGGUAACCUGCCUUAUACAGGGGAUAACAGUUAGAAAUGACUGCUAAUACCGCAUAAGCGCACAGUACCGCAUGGUAGUGUGUGAAAAAACUCCGGUGGUAUAAGAUGGACCGCGUCUGACUAGCCAGUUGGCGAGGUAACGGCUCACCAAGGCGACGAUCAGUAGCUGGUCUGAGAGGAUGAUCCGCCACACUGGGAACUGAGACACGGCCCAGACUCCUACGGGAGGCAGCAGU